CAAUAGCGUAUAUUAAAGUUGCUGCAGUUAAAAAGCUCGUAGUUGGAUUUCGGGGCAGCCUGGCUGGUCCGCCGCAAGGCGAGUACUGGUCAGCCGCCCUUCCUCUCGAAAGCCCCGACUGCUCUUCGUUGCAGUGGUCGGGUAGUUCGGGACGUUUACUUUGAAAAAAUUAGAGUGUUCAAGGCAGGCCUACGCCUGAAUACAUUAGCAUGGAAUAAUGGAAGAGGACCUCGGUCCUAUUUUGUUGGUUUCCAGGGCCGAAGUAAUGAUUAAGAGGGACAGUUGGGGGCAUUCGUAUUUAAUUGUCAGAGGUGAAAUUCUCGGAUUUAUGAAAGACGAACAACUGCGAAAGCAUUUGCCAAGGAUGUUUUCAUUAA
rnacentral:rRNA from 1 species